UGAGGAAUAUUGGUCAAUGGGCGGAGCCUGAACCAGCCAAGUCGCGUGAGGGAAGACGGCCCUAUGGGUUGUAAACCUCUUUUGCCGGGAGCAAAGCGCCGCACGUGUGCGGCUUGGGAGUACCGAGCAAAGCAAUCGGCUAACUGCCGUGCCAGCAGCCGCGGCUAAUACGGAGGAUGCGAGCGUUAUCCGGAUUUAUUGGGUUAAAGGUGCGUAGGCGGUCUGUUAAGUCAGCGGUAAAAUUGCGGGCUCAACCUCGCCGAGCCGUUGAAACUGGUAGACUUGAGUGGGCGAGAAGUACGCGGAAUGCGUGGUGUAGCGGUGAAAUGCAUAGAUAUCACGCAGAACUCCGAUUGCGAAGGCAGCGUACCGGCGCCCCAACUGACGCUGAAGCACGAAGGCGUGGGUAUCGAACAGGAUUAGAUACC
rnacentral:rRNA from 1 species